UACGUAGGGUGCGAGCGUUGUCCGGAAUUAUUGGGCGUAAAGAGCUCGUAGGCGGUGUGUCGCGUCGGUCGUGAAAACUUGGGGCUUAACCCUGAGCUUGCGGUCGAUACGGGGCAUCACUGGAGUUCGGCAGGGGAGACUGGAAUUCCUGGUGUAGCGGUGAAAUGCGCAGAUAUCAGGAGGAACACCGAUGGCGAAGGCAGGUCUCUGGGCAUUAACUGACGCUGAGGAGCGAAAGCAUGGGGAGCGAACAGGA
rnacentral:rRNA from 1 species